rnacentral:rRNA from 1 species
GAUGAACGCUGGCGGCGUGCCUAAUACAUGCAAGUCGAGCGAAUGGAUUAAGAGCUUGCUCUUAUGAAGUUAGCGGCGGACGGGUGAGUAACACGUGGGUAACCUGCCCAUAAGACUGGGAUAACUCCGGGAAACCGGGGCUAAUACCGGAUAACAUUUUGAACCGCAUGGUUCGAAAUUGAAAGGCGGCUUCGGCUGUCACUUAUGGAUGGACCCGCGUCGCAUUAGCUAGUUGGUGAGGUAACGGCUCACCAAGGCAACGAUGCGUAGCCGACCUGGGAGGGCGAUCGGCCACACUGGGACUGAGACACGGCCCAGACUCCUACGGGAGGCAGCAGUAGGGAAUCUUCCGCGAUGGACGAAAGUCUGACGGAGCAACGCCGCGUGAGUGAUGAAGGCUUUCGGGUCGUAAAACUCUGUUGUUAGGGAAGAACAAGUGCUAGUUGAAUAAGCUGGCACCUUGACGGUACCCAACCAGAAAGCCACGGCUAACUACGUGCCAGCCGCCGCGGUAA